rnacentral:rRNA from 1 species
UACGGAGGGGGCUAGCGUUGUUCGGAAUUACUGGGCGUAAAGCGCACGUAGGCGGCUUUGUAAGUUAGAGGUGAAAGCCCGGGGCUCAACUCCGGAAUUGCCUUUAAGACUGCAUCGCUAGAAUUGUGGAGAGGUAAGUGGAAUUCCGAGUGUAGAGGUGAAAUUCGUAGAUAUUGGGAAGAACACCGGUGGCGAAGGCGGCGACCUGGUCCGUGACUGACGCUGAAGGCGCGAAAGCGUGGGGAGCAAACAGG